GCUUUUGGUGCCUUCGGGAACUCUGAGACAGGUGCUGCAUGGCUGUCGUCAGCUCGUGUUGUGAAAUGUUGGGUUAAGUCCCGCAACGAGCGCAACCCUUAUCCUUUGUUGCCAGCGGCUCGGCCGGGAACUCAAAGGAGACUGCCGGUGAUAAACCGGAGGAAGGUGGGGAUGACGUCAAGUCAUCAUGGCCCUUACGGCCAGGGCUACACACGCGCUACAAUGGCGCAUACAAAGAGAAGCGACCUCGCGAGAGCAAGCGGACCUCAUAAAGUGCGUCGUAGUCCGGAUUGGAGUCUGCAACUCGACUCCAUGAAGUCGGAAUCGCUAGUAAUCGUAGAUCAGAAUGCUACGGUGAAUACGUUCCCGGGCCUUGUACACACCGCCCGUCACACCAUGGGAGUGGGUUGCAAAAGAAGUAGGUAGCUUAACCUUCGGGAGGGCGCUUACCACUUUGUGAUUCAUGACUGGGGUGAAGUCGUAACAAGGUAAGCGUAGCGAG
rnacentral:rRNA from 1 species